AUGGCUCAGCCACUGCCGAGACAGGUCUAAAAUCUGGGUCUGUAAAUCAGUACACACCAGCUUCUACUGCCUUCAAAAGAAGGGGUUGGACUGCUUCUCCCUUCUUCAACAACAUUCCAAUUGCCCCUGUUUUCAUAUCAAAUGCAAUUCCACCUCUAAAGAAAUGUGGGCCAACCAGCUGAAGGGAACGGUGAGGCUGUGAUAUUUGUCCUCACCCAAACUGUUGUAGAACUUCAUGAAGGGACGUUAAAUCAGUUGGAUCCUUUUGGGGGUAAACAAAAGAGAGAGAGAUGGAUCUGAGGCUCAUUUGACAGCUGGAGAAGCUGAAAGACCUUGAAUGGAGAUGAGAAGAUUAAAGUCCAAGACACUGGCAGCUCUCUGGGACAUUGCUCAUUGGGUUAAGGUAAAAGAACUUCGAGGAUGGAUACUUGAGAUAUCAUAGGGGAAUGCCAGAGUCAUCCAAGACCCAGCUUGUUCCUAUAUUCCUACUCUGCCUUUUGUAGCCGGCUUCCAUCUUCAAGUUUUUCUCAUGGUCCAAGAUGGCUGCUGAAGCUCUAGCCACCAUGUCUGAGUCCCGGACAGGAAGCAAAAGAAAGAAGAGAAAGGAAGAAGGGUGCAAGCAAGCUGACUGUUCCUCUAUUAAGGAUCCUUUCUGAAUUCCAUAUCUGGCUGUGUUGGGAGCUGUGAAAGGACUUCUUUUGUUGGUCAUAUUGCUACUUGGAAUAAAAUCAGUUUUGUUAUUAAGUAAGAUGAGGAGAAUUGGUUUGGCAGCUAGCUUCUUCGACAACUGUAAAUCAGGACCUUAACAUUGCCAUCAUAAUGAAGGUUUAAUGGAUCUAAACAUGGCUCCAAAAUUAUGUUGUCUUAGU